rnacentral:rRNA from 1 species
AACGAACGCUGGCGGCAUGCCUAACACAUGCAAGUCGAACGAGACCUUCGGGUCUAGUGGCGCACGGGUGCGUAACGCGUGGGAACCUGCCCUUAGGUUCGGAAUAACUCCCCGAAAGGGGUGCUAAUACCGGAUAAUGUCUUCGGACCAAAGAUUUAUCGCCUUUGGAUGGGCCCGCGUUGGAUUAGCUAGUUGGUAGGGUAAAAGCCUACCAAGGCGACGAUCCAUAGCUGGUCUGAGAGGAUGAUCAGCCACACUGGGACUGAGACACGGCCCAGACCCCCAGGGGGGGGCGAGGGGGGGAAUAUUGGAAAGGGGAGAAAGGCCUAACCCAGAAAGGCCGGGGGGGAAAGAAAGGCUUUGGGUUGAAAAACCUCUUUCCCCCGGAAGAAAAAGGACAGAACGGGGAAAAAAAGCCCCGCCAACCCCCGGG